AACAUCGCGACACAGUUCACCACACUACGCGUACAGCAUGAUCACGCUGAGUGGCGUUGAAACGGUUAACGUAACUGCGCGUACGACCGUCGAAUGGCAAAGAUAUUCAAGCUGAGAAUCGUUUUCAGAUGCUAUAAACAACAGCUGUGCUGACUUUCAAGGAGAAACCAUUCGACAUAAUCUUACGUUUGAGCCGGGACCUUCGGUUUGCAGUUUCUGCGUCUGCUAUAAUUCGAGGCUGAAGUGGUGCCAGUCGAUCGUAUGCGACCCGCCCGUACCAUGCAGAAAAUUUCGUCUUGGAAAACGAUGUUGUGAUUUCGAAUGCCUGGACCACGUAAAGAACAUUACCGGAAGUGGUAAAAUUUAUGUCCUUGAGUAUAAGAAAUCCUCCAGCUCCUCGACUCAGCGACAAACGCUACUCUGGGUGAUGAGCGUAAUGGUGCUAUUGCGGCUAGUUUAAUUUUUCAACAAGGAUCCAGAUGGCGCCGUUGACGGAAUUCUUUCGCUAUAAACGUCAACGAUCAACAUCAGCCAUCAGGCAAUUUCAUAUUUGUGACUUAUUUCUUCUGUGUUAUUUCUUCUAAUUUUAUUGUUAGUUCUUCAAUUUGUAUUCCAAAAGAUUGAACUCUUUUUACGCGUGUGUGUGUUUUUCUUUUUUUUUGUAACUCGUCGAAUUGCAAUUCUAAUUUUUGCACUUCCUCCUUCAUGUCCUCUAUGUGUUUCUCGAACUCUUGUGUCGUCCUGUCUUUGUCGGAACAUUCUACUUGAAGAUCAGCGAGUUGAUGCUCGGGAUCGUAAUUCAAUUUUUGGUCGUUAGCAGUAAUAAGCUCACGUAACUUCACUUUUGAACUUGAUCUUGUUUGGUCUUGAUUGUGUUUUCGUGGUGCUUGUGGUGUUCUAAAAGUAAUCGUCACGUUACUUGCAUUUUUAGUGCACAUUGAUACACUGCACUCUGCAGUUCUCCUAUUUUCAAACUUGCUUCAUUUAAGGUAACUUUAUGAAUUUCCGAUUGAUGCUUUAACAUUUGAUGUAAGUCUCCUAUUGCUGUUUCACGUUCUUUCAACUGUUCAUUAAAUUCGUUGUUUAGCAUAUCCACUCGAGAAAUUCCGAGUUCUUGAGCAUCGUUUCUUCUUUUAGAAAUUUGGCUUAUUUUCUCUCGCCUGCUGCUACAUGUUGCUGUCAUUUUAUCAACUUCUUUCUUCUUUUUUUUUCUUUUUUUUUUGAACUUAAAAUCUUGAUUUAAGGUUUGUGUUUCACUAUAUGAUUUAUUAUUAUUAACUAGUUCAACAUUAUUUUCAGUAGAUUUUUUUCGCGUGAUUUUUAUACUUAUUUAAAUAGUUUAACACGAGCAAAUGCAUCGUACGUCAGAUAUACCAUUUUUAAUAAAUUGUCGCCUUUACAACUCGAGUUACCUCUGAACGAGUCGCAUGAUUGAUCAAUAAGCCAUGAGUAAUUAUGCAAAUUCAGUUUUUUUUUCAUCUAUCUAUCUGAAUAUUAUAACAAAGACUUUACAUUGAAUAUUUUAUUAAAAUUGUAAGUUUUUCAUAAACGCUUCAAAAUCCACAGUCUAUUGAUCAACUCCUCUAUCCUUUCUCUUUCUCCUCACUAAAAUAGAUAAAUUCCUAAUGUAGUUUGUGGAUAAUAUUUUUUUUUUUUUCUAAAGCAAAUCACAUUUAUCAUCUGAUAUAUUUUUUGAAAUAAUUUCUGUCUGUACAUUUUCUUCUUUUCCCUUACUCCUCUUUCUCUUUCUAAUGAAUUCUUUUUAUUCCGUAAAAUAGUUUUUGUAUAUUCAAUUUUGUUAAGUGCAAUCCUUAUUUCUGAUAACUUACUUUUAUUAGAUAAUUCUUGUGAAUCUUCUACUACAUCUUCCAUAUCAUUUUGAGUGCGGCUUCUACCUUCAGUAAAUUUAAUAUCUUGAACCGUAUCAUUAAUUUCAAUAGCUCUUUCGGUAUCAAGUAAAUCGCACUUAUUAUUUAAUAUACCUUUUGAAUUGACUUCUGUCUCUGUAGUUUCUUCUUCUGUAUCUUCUUCGAGUUUUCUUCGUUCUUCUAAUCCACCCUUCUCAUUUUCUAGGAUCUUCCUUGGUGUUACGCCGCCUAAAACAUCUGCACGCCAGCCCGCGCCAGCUCGCACCACCGGACAACAACCAGCCUGCGUAACGUCACUUCGACCCUCAAUAAACCUAAGGACCCACCAUAACUUUCACUUCCCUGUAUUGUUUCGCCAUGUGUCUUCAAUCCGUUUGUCUAGAAGAAUUUCUAAAGCUUAAAAAUAUUCUCGAAACACAGUCGGUUUUUAGAGAGGUCCUUGGGUUUAUUAGACGUACUUAAAACACGGAGAAAGCGGGUAUGCACCCAUUAGGAAAAUCCGAAUAGCCCUCUAAUAAAACAAGCUAUGUUUUCCUCACGCACACAGUCAUCUAUCCACCACGAUGGUAGGAGACUUCCUACUCAUCCCUUCGAGCAGUAGUGCAGGUCAUGACCAAUCGACACCGCGGUUCGUUACCCUCACUUUUCCUAACGAAAGUGGGGACAACGAAUCCGCGUUCUUUAGGCACAGGGGCACACCCACACCGAACUUUUCUUCUGUAUUAGAAAAAGAGCGACAGUCAGUCUAAAAACUAACGCCUAACGCGGCAGUCUACACAUAGCGCGAGAGUCGCAUACUUCACGAAAAUCUUUUGUCGGUUCUCGGUGUUGUCGAACAUACAUCUUCUCUCCUAAAUAUAUUAUAGUGCUAAGUACAUUAAUACAUUAAUUUCCAUUAUAAGAUCCCUGCUCUAGCGUACAUAUCUAUCACAUCUUCGUGCGACAAGUUGUUAACUAUUUAUUUCUCUACGUCAGUGUAAUCUAAGUGUUGGAAAUAUAUAAUUUAUAAUUCAGUGAA